rnacentral:rRNA from 1 species
GUGGGGAAUAUUGGUCAAUGGACGAGAGUCUGAACCAGCCAAGUAGCGUGCAGGAUGACGGCCCUAUGGGUUGUAAACUGCUUUUGUGCGGGAAUAACGUUGUGCUCGUGAGCGCAAGUGCAUGUACCGUACGAAUAAGGAUCGGCUAACUCCGUGCCAGCAGCCGCGGUAAUACGGAGGAUCCGAGCGUUAUCCGGAUUUAUUGGGUUUAAAGGGAGCGUAGGCGGAAGAUCAAGUCAGCUGUGAAAUGUAGAUGCUCAACGUCUGCACUGCAGUUGAAACUGGUUUUCUUGAGUGCGUAAGGGGCAGGCGGAAUUCGUCGUGUAGCGGUGAAAUGCUUAGAUAUGACGAAGAACUCCGAUCGCGAAGGCAGCUUGCCGGGCCGCAACUGACGCUGAAGCUCGAAGGUGCGGGUAUCGAACAGG